rnacentral:rRNA from 1 species
UACGGAGGGUGCGAGCGUUGUCCGGAAUCAUUGGGCGUAAAGGGCGCGUAGGUGGCGCGGUAAGCGUGCGGUGAAAGCCUGGGGCUCAACCCCGGGUCGGCCGUGCGAACUGCUGGGCUUGAGCACUGUAGAGGCAGGCGGAAUUCCGGGUGUAGCGGUGGAAUGCGUAGAGAUCCGGAAGAACACCGGUGGCGAAGGCGGCUGCUGGGCAGUGCUGACACUGAGGCGCGACAGCGUGGGAGCAACAGG